UACACUCCUACGGGAGGCAGCAGUAGGGAAUCUUCCACAAUGGGUGCAAACCUGAUGGAGCAAUGCCGCGUGAGUGAAGAAGGUCUUCGGAUCGUAAAGCUCUGUUGUUAGAGAAGAACACGUGCUAGGUAACUACUAGCGCCUUGACGGUAUCUAACCAGAAAGUCACGGCUAACUACGUGCCAGCAGCCGCGGUAAUACGUAGGUGACAAGCGUUGUCCGGAUUUAUUGGGCGUAAAGGGAGCGCAGGCGGUCUGUUUAGUCUAAUGUGAAAGCCCACGGCUUAACCGUGGAACGGCAUUGGAAACUGACAGACUUGAAUGUAGAAGAGGAAAAUGGAAUUCCAAGUGUAGCGGUGGAAUGCGUAGAUAUUUGGAGGAACACCAGUGGCGAAGGCGAUUUUCUGGUCUAACAUUGACGCUGAGGCUCGAAAGCGUGGGGAGCGAACAGGAUUAGAUACCCUAGUAGUCCCAUGA
rnacentral:rRNA from 1 species